AACGAACGCUGGCGGCAGGCCUAAAACAUGCAAGUCGAACGAACCUUCGGGUUAGUGGCGCACGGGUGCGUAACACGUGGGAACAUGCCCUUCACUGCGGAACAACGUCGGGAAACUGACGCUAAUACCGCAUAAUGUCUUCGGACCAAAGAUUUAUCGGUGAAGGAUUGGCCCGCGUCUGAUUAGGUAGUUGGUAGGGUAAUGGCCUACCAAGCCGACGAUCAGUAGCUGGUCUGAGAGGAUGAUCAGCCACACUGGGACUGAGACACGGCCCAGACUCCUACGGGAGGCAGCAGUUAGGAAUAUUGGACAAUGGGGGCAACCCUGAUCCAGCCAUGCCGCGUGUGUGAAGAAGGCCUUAGGGUUGUAAAGCACUUUCGUCUAUGAAGAUAAUGACAGUAGUAGAAGAAGAAGCUCCGGCUAAAUUCGUG
rnacentral:rRNA from 1 species